UUCUUUCAGCAGAGGCUACUUCAGAGAAACUAGAAACCAGAAUGACAAGAGAAGACAUUUCCUUAUUCCUGUUUGCUUAUUCCUAGGAGUCCACAUCUCCACAACAAGAGUUCUUCACCCUGCUAGUGGCUGCUGGUUCUCAUCUCUCUCACAUUCCCUGAAAUAGACUCAUGUAAUCCCGCUGAAAUACUAGCAUCAGUUGGCAGGCACCCUUCCUUAGAAGUCUGAAUUCCAAUUCCUUGGGCAACUUCUUUUACGAUCUUAAGAUACCAGCACCAGCUAGAUGACCCUCCCUCUUUAGAGGUCUGAGUUUUAGCUCUGUAGGAUCUUUCUUCCAUGUUGCUGAGGAACCAUCACCAGUUAAGUAACCCACCCUGCUCAAAAGUCCUGCUUCUACCUCUGCAGGGUACUUCCUCCAAGCUCCUGAGCUACCAAUCCAGCCAGGCAAUAUCUCCUCAGCAUUUUGAGUCCCAGCUCUUUGGGGUCCCUUCCCUGAGUUUUAUGAUUCUAAUAACUCAACCUCUGUAUGUCUGAUAACUCAACCAUAUCUCCCUUCUGUAUUUUCCAUCCUCCAAUCCUGAUUAGCCAACAUUCUACAUUAAUAUUUCUUUGUUAAAUGAACUAUGCUAAAUAAUUUGUUUUUCCACAUGGAUACUGACUGAUAUAGUCACAAAUAAUGCCACCAUUAUUGUGACAGCUAACUGGCCAGAGGACGAAUAGUGGUCCCAAGAACUCAGGCUACAAAGCCAGAUUGCCUGUCUCCAUAUCCGAAGUAUAACCCUUGCUAGCUGUGUCAGAUUGAGCACGUUACUUAAGCUCUCUGUCCUUUUCUUAAUUUAUUUUAAUAGGAUAAUAAUAGCACCUUCAUGAAGUUGUGAGAAUUAAAUGAACUGAUACAUGUAAAAUACUUAGAAUAAUGAUUAUCAAUAAGUAUUAGAUAUUAUGUUACAAAGAAGGAAAAACAAUUUUCCUUCUAUCCUAGGUUCUUGGCUGAGAUGCCCCUGUAAUAAAGGAUGGAAUAACAGGAAAAAAAAAUAGAAGUUUAAUAACCUUAUACCUCCUGUGUACGUGGAAGAUACCAAGAGAAUGGGUAUCUCCCAAAUGGUCCGACCUACCACCUUAAGCUAAAGACAAAAGAUCCUGGGGAUGAGAGAGGAAGGCCAGUUAUGGGAAAUUACCAGAAUAGGCACAGUAAACAAGGGUAAAGUUAUGUAGAUUUAAAUUCUUGCCUUCCCACUGAGAAGAAUUUCUAGAGAUUUGGUCAUGCUUCUCUUCUUAAUCCAGAGAGAGAGACAUCUUUACAGAUGGAUAUUUCCCUUAUCAAUGUAAAUGUCUUACAAAAGAGUAGCUUCUGAUGGUUUUCUAAGCUUCUCUAGGGACUGCUGUUUUUAAAAAAUAACCAGCUCAAAAUAAUCCUUAUGCCAAAGAGACAUAUUUUGGGGUGGUAUAUUCUGCUCCUCUUUCAUAUAUCAUUCAAAUAUUUCUUUGUAAAAAAAAUGAGUUUUAAUAAAGAUCACUUAAUGAGUACCAGUGUAUAUGAAAGAAGGAGAAUGAGCGAACAGGAGAAACAAAGUUGGUAAAUACUGUAGUGAGUGCUGGGUGUACAGAUUGCUCUCAGACCACUAGACCCAUAGCAUCCUGAAUGAAAAGGAAAUCUGCUACCCACCCUCAUGUCUCUGCGUUUUCCCGUCAUAUCUGCAAAGGACUUAUAACCAAUUAUACUGCACAUGCUAACUGCUAGAAUAGAAAAAUGCAGAGACUUAUAGCGUCACAGAAGAAAGGCUGGAGAAUAUUCCCUGGAGUGAUGGUGUAGACAGGGAAACUCAAUAAAGAAAGGGGGAAGAGCAAAAAUGCAAAGUGAGAGCUCAAGAGAGCACAGUAUUUUAGAUAAGUGAAAACAGUUAUCCUGCACCACAGGAUAUGUGUGGGAUGUGAGAGAAAAUAAAGCUGGAGAUGUAGACAGAUGCCAGACUACCCAGAGUCAUGGUUACAAAGCUAAGGAGAUUGAAAACUGUGGGGAGUCCUCAAUUUAGUCCCUUUCCCAUUAUCAUGGUAAGACUGAGACAGUGUUUACAUGGUUACUACACCGUUUCCUUUUCCUCUUGUACACACAGGAAACUACAUUUCCCAGCUUUCCCCUUUCCAAGUAGAUGUGACUGGUGGGGUUCAGGCCAGUGGAAUAUAGGCAGAAGUAGUAAACACUACAGGUGACCCUUGAACAGCUAUGGGUUUGAAAUCUGAGGUUCUACUUACACAUGGAUUUUUUUCAAUAACGAUAUGUACAGUACUGUAAUCUAUUUUCCUUAUGAUUUAUUAAAUAGCCUUUUCUUUAGCUUUCUUUAUUAUAAGGAUAUAGUAUAUGAUAUAUAUAAUGUACAAAAUGCAUGUUAGUCAAGGAUUUAUUAUUAUUUACAAGGAUUCUGGUCAAUUAGUAGUUAAGUUUUGGGGGAGUCAAAAGUUCUAUGUGGAUUUUUGGCUGCAUGGGGAUCAGUGCCCCUGACCCCUCCAUUGCUCAAAAGUCAAUUAUAGAUAAAAACGCAGUGGUUACUGCUGGGCGGGGGCAGGAAAAUCUCUUCACUCCCUGUUCCAGGAAAAAUUCAACCGCAGCUGAGUGUGAAGAAGGUAGAAAAUCUGAAUCCUCUCCAGCCACCCUCCACUGAUCCUAGGAAAAACCACCUUUUGCUGGUCGGGAAGCAGGAAAUAAAUUUAUGACCGUGAUCCUGCACCAAUACAAAGAAGAAAUCUAAGGCUGCUGGGAAAUUUAUGCUGUUCAAUGCCCUCCUGAUGGAAUACAGGUAGGCUGUCACAGGUAUUUCUGGAAAAUGGGAGACACUUCUCAUGAAAUCAGAAAGCCAUCCCAGUAUCAUCAAAUGGGAAAAUAUAGAUGGAGCCUAUGAAAGAUGAUACGCAAUAUCAUUCCAAUAUUUUAUGGCAAGUGAAAUGUGGAUAAAAUGAACACCAAGAACAGCAUUGAAUGGAGAAUGAGUUCAGGACAUGUAACAGAGUGUUGUUACAGAUGACAGAUUUUCAGAUGAUCUAGAUUUUCUCCAUGCAACCAGAUACCUGGAUUAAUGCCUCCAAUUUGUGGGAAGGUCAAAAUAGAGACUUAAGGAGAAAGCAACCUGGCUUUCUGAAGCCCCCUUCCACCACCACUAGCAUCUUAUAGAACUGUAAAUCAGAACAAAGGGGUGAGAAGAGACCAACAAGAACAUAAGACCUGACAUGCUUGUGAAGAAUGACAGCAUUUUGCUUCUUAGGAAAGAAAAAUAUAUUUGAAGGAAAAGACAGAUAAUAUUCAAGAGAUUUUUAUUCCAGAAAAGACAGAUUUCUAUUCCAGAAAACACAGAGAAUACGUCCAUCUGAAAUAAUUUCCAAGAAAUCUUCAGAUCAGCCUGGAUCCAAUUUUCUUAACUCAUUAAUGGUUUUUGAGCACACAGUGGAUGGUGGGCAUUUAUAUUAUGUCUCCUUACAAGCAGACAUUGUCACACAAAAUCAGCGACAGCUUCUUGCAGCCUUGAAAGUCACACAGAGAGAGGAGAGAGAGAGAGGCAGAGACACAGGCGGAGGGAGAAGCAGGC